rnacentral:tRNA from 1 species
UGGCUCAGUGGUUAAGAGCACUGGCCGCUCUUUCAGAGGUCCUGGGUUCAAUUCCCAG